rnacentral:lncRNA from 1 species
AGUCAAAAGACAAGUUUGGUAGUGAUCUUUACCCAUAUGCUUCUUUAUUCUUGAUCUUUCUGCAUUAUUUCACUUCUAGAAAAUAUUUAAAGCUCAGUUUAGGAAAAAACCGACCUGCCAAACAUCUGGCACACUUCCUGCUGCCUUCGCCCCUUGGAGUGGGAGGAAAAGCCAUCCUCCUUUAAUUUGUAUGUUUGGAAAAAGCAGGGAGGAAUCACAAAACUAAUCCAAAAAAUCAAACAUCUUUCUUUUGUAGAGGAAACUCUUUGUGAAGCUGCAAUUCUUGAUUCAGGGUUGCACAUCUACACGUACACCUUUGAUUUCCCACAGCGUGGCUGAGCCUUGGCUCCUACAUCACCAUCUGAAUUAUUCUGGUCAGUAAUUUUAAUUUUGAGGCAAUACACUGGCAAAACUCAAAGCAUCAGCAGAAGGGAAGCACACACAGAAGGACAGCCAGCCCCAUUCCCCAUCCCAAUGUCUCCAUUGCCAGUUCCCAGAUAUGGUUUUGGAAUUCAAUUUUGGAAUCUGGAGCUUCUGGGCUCCACCUGCUCCAGGCUGGGCUGGACUCCAGGUUUGCUGCAGCCUCCAUGGAAAUGGGCUUGUGUCAGUCACAAAACACCUUUUGGGUUCCGGGGUUCAGUGCCUUUGGUGUGUGGCAACCCCUUGGGAGUGUCCAUGUCCCCGAUGUCCUCGUGCCAGGCAGGAUCAGGAUCAGGAUCAGGAUUCCCGUGUCUGCUGGGCCACCUUGAACCUCAUGGACACCACAUCCCUGAUCCCCGCCUCGAUCUCAUCGUUGGCCUCCACGGACCCCACUCCUUUGGGAGACCCCGUGAGGAUCAAGUCCCCUUCUUCCAAGGGGAACACGUGGCUGAUGUAGCUGAUCAGGUAAGGGAUGGAGAAGAUCAUGGACGAGGUGUCUCCCUCCUGCCUCAGCUUCCCGUUCACCUUCAGCCAGAUCUGCAGCUUGUGCGGGUCCGGGAUCUUCUCCUUGGGCACGAAGUCACUGACGGGGCAGGACGAGCCGAACCCUUUGGCCAAGGUCCAGGGCAGCCCUUUCUCUUUGCACUGCUGCUGCGUGUCGCGGGCCGUCAUGUCCAGGCACAGGGCAUAGCCCGCCACAUGCUCCAUGGCCUCGGCCUCGGGCACGGCCCGGGCCCUGCGGCCGAUGACCACCCCCAGCUCCACCUCGUGGUGCAGGUUCCGGCAGUAGUAGGGCCGCACGAUGGGGGAUCCCUCCCGCACGUAGGCCGAGGAGGGUUUGAGGAAGAAGAGCGGCUCUGCGGGCAGGGCGCUGCCCAUCUCCUUGGCGUGCUCCGCGNGCGGGACAGCGGUUUAGAACCGGCCAUUGCCGCCCUUGCCGUAUCCUUGCCGGGGACCCGCACGGCGCUGCCGCUUCUCCUGCUCCUCCUCCGCGGGGUGAGCGGGCGGGCCGAGGGCCGGGCCCGGGGCCGGGCGGGCUCAGCGCCGCCCCCGCGCACGCCGGGCCGGGCCGGGCCGGGCCGUGCCGGCGCUGCCGCCGCCUCCCGGGGCGGACAGCCAAGGAGUCUUCUCCAGAGGAACCCUCUGCAGGUCCAGCACAGCUGCGAGCUAAAUUCCUGCACACGGAGCACGAGCUGA